rnacentral:rRNA from 1 species
AUUGAACGCUGGCGGCAGGCCUAACACAUGCAAGUCGAGCGGAUGAGAGGAGCUUGCUUCUCGAUUCAGCGGCGGACGGGUGAGUAAUGCCUAGGAAUCUGCCUGGCAGUGGGGGACAACGCUUCGAAAGGAACGCUAAUACCGCAUACGUCCUACGGGAGAAAGCAGGGGACCUUCGGGCCUUGCGCUAUCAGCUGAGCCUAGGUCGGAUUAGCUAGUUGGUGAGGUAAUGGCUCACCAAGGCGACGAUCCGUAACUGGUCUGAGAGGAUGAUCAGUCACACUGGAACUGAGACACGGUCCAGACUCCUACGGGAGGCAGCAGUGGGGAAUAUUGGACAAUGGGCGAAGGCCUGAUCCAGCCAUGCCGCGUGUGUGAAGAAGGUCUUCGGAUUGUAAAGCACUUUAAGUUGGGAGGAAGGGUUGUAGAUUAAUACUCUGCAAUUUUGACGUUACCGACAGAAUAAGCACCGGCUAACUACGUGCCAGCAGCCGCCGUAAUAC